rnacentral:lncRNA from 1 species
AAGGACUCACAGCGUAUUUCUAGUCACUAGAUAUCGUUUGGAAGGUGGUAUAAUUUGUAAUAACUGUAUUGAAUUUUGAAGAACAUAACUUAGUUGACUCAAUUGCAUAUCUUUUUCAGGUUCUUGACCUCAAUGCGGAUCUAAGUGCUGUUAGUGCCGCCGAAGAAUGAGAAAUUCCUUACUGCUGUACUUGCACACUAUGUGAUGCUGAAUCCUUUGUGUCAACGAGAUUCUCAUGCUUUUGCUGUAGAAGUGGAUUAAUUUAUAAUGGGUUCUCUGUUAUAACU